rnacentral:rRNA from 1 species
UACGUAGGGGGCAAGCGUUGUCCGGAUUUAUUGGGCGUAAAGAGCGUGUAGGCGGCUUGGUAGGUCCGCUGUGGAAAGUCGGGGGCUCAACCCUCGAAUGCCGGUGGAUACUGUCGGGCUAGAGUACGGAAGAGGCAAGUGGAAUUCCUGGUGUAGCGGUGGAAUGCGCAGAUAUCAGGAGGAACACCGAUGGCGAAGGCAGGUCUCUGGGCCACUACUGACGCUGAGAAGCGAAAGCGUGGGGAGCGAACAGG